rnacentral:rRNA from 1 species
CAGUAGCCGCGGUAAUACGAAGGGUGCAAGCGUUACUCGGAAUUACUGGGCGUAAAGCGUGCGUAGGUGGUGGUUUAAGUCCGUUGUGAAAGCCCUGGGCUCAACCUGGGAAUUGCAGUGGAUACUGGGUCACUAGAGUGUGGUAGAGGAUAGUGGAAUUUCCGGUGUAGCAGUGAAAUGCGUAGAGAUCGGAAGGAACAUCUGUGGCGAAGGCGACUAUCUGGGCCAACACUGACACUGAGGCACGAAAGCGUGGGGAGCAAACAGGAUUAGAUACCCCGGUAGUCCCGUCUCUUAUACA